UACGAGAGCCUCAAGCGUUAUCCGGAAUUAUUGGGCGUAAAGGGUGCGUAGGUUGUUUUGUUAGUCUUUUGUCAAAUCCCGGGGCUUAACCUCGGACUUGCGAAAGAAACGGCAAAACUUGAAAGUGUGAGAGGCGUACGGAACUCAUGGUGUAGGGGUGAAAUCCGUUGAUAUCAUGGGGAACACCGAAAGCGAAAGCAGUACGCUGGCGCAUAUUUGACACUGAAGCACGAAAGCGUGGGUAGCGAAUGGG
rnacentral:rRNA from 1 species